rnacentral:siRNA from 1 species
UACGCGCACAGUUUUCUAUACCUC